rnacentral:rRNA from 1 species
CGACAGCAAUAUGAAGGUCAGGCUGAAGACCUUACCCGAUUAGCUGAGAGGUGGUGCAUGGCCGUCGUCAGUUCGUACUGUGAAGCAUCCUGUUAAGUCAGGCAACGAGCGAGACCCACGUCCACAGUUGCCAGCAUACCCUCCGGGGUGAUGGGUACACUGUGGAGACCGCCGCUGCUAAAGCGGAGGAAGGAGUGGGCAACGGUAGGUCAGUAUGCCCCGAAUCUCCCGGGCUACACGCGGGCUACAAUGGUUGGUACAAUGGGCAUCUACCCCGAAAGGGGAAGGAAAUCUCUUAAAGCCAAUCGUAGUUCGGAUUGAGGGCUGCAACUCGCCCUCAUGAAGCUGGAAUCCGUAGUAAUCGCGUUACAACAGAACGCGGUGAAUACGUCCCUGCUCCUU